AUUGAACGCUGGCGGCAGGCCUAACACAUGCAAGUCGAGCGGAUGAAGGGAGCUUGCUCCUGGAUUCAGCGGCGGACGGGUGAGUAAUGCCUAGGAAUCUGCCUGGUAGUGGGGGAUAACGUCCGGAAACGGGCGCUAAUACCGCAUACGUCCUGAGGGAGAAAGUGGGGGAUCUUCGGACCUCACGCUAUCAGAUGAGCCUAGGUCGGAUUAGCUAGUUGGUUGGGUAAAGGCCUACCAAGGCGACGAUCCGUAACUGGUCUGAGAGGAUGAUCAGUCACACUGGAACUGAGACACGGUCCAGACUCCUACGGGAGGCAGCAGUGGGGAAUCUUGCGCAAUGGGCGAAAGCCUGAUACAGCAAUGCCGCGUGAGUGAUGAAGGUCUUCGGAUUGUAAAGCACUGUAAGUUGGGAGGAAGUAAAGUAAGUUUAUACAUUGCUGUUUUGACGGUACCAACAGAAUAAGCACCGGCUAACUUCGUG
rnacentral:rRNA from 1 species